CAAGCUUUUUGGUAAACUAACUAAGUUUCGAAGGAUCUACCUCCGAAUUUGAAAUAAGCCGUACGGAGUAACUAUUAUCCGUUUAUUUGUGAUGCGCGUGUUUGCUUUGUAGGGCUGAAUCGAGCGAGCCCUCCUCCAUAAUGUAAUGAACAACCAGAACAGCUAGCAAAAAAUAAAAUAAAAUAAAUAGAAAUAUGAAAAAAAAAGAAAAAAGGUGAAGAAUGCACCCCCUUCGUGGGACACAGAAAAAAAGGCAAUUCAAAUAAAAAAAAACUUUGAACCUUAAUAUAUAUGUAUGUCAUGUUCACAUGCAUGCUUCUUGUUUCUCACUGCCCAUAUCUAUCUAUCGCAAUCUGCAGUCUGAAACACCGUCCCCUCAGACACACGCAACGCUAGUUAAGGAAAGGUAGGAACCCGUCUUAAUCCCUGACAAAGGCUAAAUACAAAGAAGAACAGAAGGAAAUGAAAUGAA
rnacentral:sRNA from 1 species